rnacentral:rRNA from 1 species
CCUACGGGAGCAGCAGUGGGGAAUAUUGCACAAUGGGCGCAAGCCUGAUGCAGCCAUGCCGCGUGUAUGAAGAAGGCCUUCGGGUUGUAAAGUACUUUCAGCAGUGAGGAAGGUGGGUAUGUUAAUAGCAUACUCAUUUGACGUUAGCUGCAGAAGAAGCACCGGCUAACUCCGUGCCAGCAGCCGCGGUAAUACGGAGGGUGCGAGCGUUAAUCGGAAUUACUGGGCGUAAAGCGCAUGCAGGUGGUUUGUUAAGUCAGAUGUGAAAGCCCGGGGCUCAACCUCGGAAUUGCAUUUGAAACUGGCAAACUAGAGUACUGUAGAGGGGGUAGAAUUUCAGGUGUAGCGGUGAAAAUGCGUAGAGAUCUGAAGGAAUACCGGUGGCGAAGGCGGCCCCCUGGACAGAUACUGACACUCAGAUGCGAAAGCGUGGGGAGCAAACAGGAUUAGAUACCCUGGUAG